rnacentral:rRNA from 1 species
UGGGGAAUUUUGGACAAUGGGCGAAAGCCUGAUCCAGCAAUGCCGCGUGUGUGAAGAAGGCCUUCGGGUUGUAAAGCACUUUUGUCCGGAAAGAAAUCCUUGGCUCUAAUACAGUCGGGGGAUGACGGUACCGGAAGAAUAAGCACCGGCUAACUACGUGCCAGCAGCCGCGGUAAUACGUAGGGUGCAAGCGUUAAUCGGAAUUACUGGGCGUAAAGCGUGCGCAGGCGGUUUGCUAAGACCGAUGUGAAAUCCCCGGGCUCAACCUGGGAACUGCAUUGGUGACUGGCAGGCUAGAGUAUGGCAGAGGGGGGUAGAAUUCCACGUGUAGCAGUGAAAUGUGUAGAGAUGUGGAGGAAUACCGAUGGCGAAGGCAGCCCCCUGGGCCAAUACUGACGCUCAUGCACGAAAGCGUGGGGAGCAAACAGGAUUAGAUACCCUGGUAGUCCACGCCCUAAACGAUGUCAACUAGUUGUUGGGGAUUCAUUUCCUAGUAACGUAGCUAACGCGUGAAGUUGACCGCCUGGGGAGUACGGUCGCAAGAUU